rnacentral:misc_RNA from 1 species
GGUCGGCGGAGCAACACACAAGUCACUGGCGUGCUCACCCAUCAACACGUGCGCACCAGCAACUAGUUCUGAUCUUAAGGUCUUCAACCUGAGUAAUACCUGGUUGUUUCUUGGGAUCAUUGUGUCAGGUGAAGUUCAGAAAACCACAAUACUGUUAACAAGAUGGUCAGCGGAGGUCGAGAAUGUAUCAGCAUGCACGUGGGUCAGGCUGGGGUGCAGAUGGGCAACGCGUGCUGGGAGCUGUAUUGCCUGGAACACGGCAUCCAAGCUGAUGGCGGCAUGAUAAUGGAUGAGACAGAGCCAAAUCAACCCUACAUAGCGGACGACUCGUUUAAUACCUUCUUCAACGAGACCAGAAUGGGAAAGCACGUGCCCAGGGCGGUGUUCAUUGACCUCGAGCCUACAGUGGUGGAUGAGAUCAGGACGGGUACCUACCGGUCACUCUUCGCCCCCGACACCCUCCGCACUGGCAAGGAGGAUGCUGCCAACAACUACGCCCGUGGCCACUACACCGUUGGUAGGGAACAGAUGGAUGUUAUUCGGGAAUGUGUUAGAAAACAAACGGAGCAGUGUUCAGGGCUUCAGGGCUUCCUUGUCUUCCACUCCUUUGGUGGAGGCACCGGAUCAGGUUUCGGCUCUCUUCUGAUGGAGCACCUGUCCAUUGACUAUGGUAAAAAGUCCAAGCUCUGCUUCUCCAUAUAUCCUGCCCCACAGGUCUCAACAGCUGUGGUUGAACCAUACAACUCCAUCCUCUUCACACACACAACACUGGAACAUGCGGACGUGACAUUUAUGGUGGAUAAUGAAGCCAUCUAUGACCUCUGUAAGAAGAGGCUCGACAUCUCCCGACCCACAUACACUAACCUCAACCGUAUGAUCGGGCAGGUGGUCUCCAGCAUCACAGCCUCACUCAGGUUCGAUGGAGCAUUGAAUGUUGACCUGACAGAGUUUCAGACCAAUCUUGUGCCUUACCCCAGGAUACACUUCCCACUGGCUACAUAUGCACCAGUAGUGUCAACUGAAAAUGCCUUCCAUGAGGAUUUUAGUGUGCGUGAUAUAACUGCUAACUGCUUUGAUACAACCUACCAGAUGGUCAAGUGUGAUCCCAGGAAUGGUAAAUAUAUGGCAUGUUGUCUCCUCUUCCGUGGGGAUGUUGUUCCUAAGGAUGUCAGCGCUGCCAUUGCCGAGACACGCACCAAGAAAAAUAUUACUUUUGUCGAUUGGUGUCCAACAGGCUUCAAGGUGGGCAUCAACUACCAGCCACCAACUGUGGUACCUGGUACUGACUUGGCUAAAGUAGAGAGAGCUGUUUGUGCUCUCUCAAACACAACUGCAAUUAAGGACGCCUGGGAGCGCCUCGACCGCAAGUUUGAUUUGAUGUUCUCCAAAAGAGCCUUUGUACACUGGUACGUUGGAGAAGGCAUGGAAGAAGGAGAGUUUACCGAGGCCAGAGAGGACACUGCUGCCUUAGAAAUGGACUACCAUGAGGUGGAGUCGAGCGCAGCUGAAAUAGAUGAUGAUGAUGAGGUUCUAGUAGACUACCUCCACUGAUCUGCAUCAUCUUCCCUCUGCUCCCUCCUCUCAUGCUUAAUAGAAGUAUGAUUCAAUGGAGAGUUUGCAGAAGCACGGGAGGAUCUAGCGGCCCUGGAAUUGGACUACCAUGAGGUCGAGCAGUCUCCACCAGAAGACGAAGAAUAUGAUGACAACUAUUAAGUCU